CUUUACCGGCUACAGGAUGUUGAUCGACUGUUGGCGCGCGGACCGGAAGCUGUGCUGCUCUGGCUGUAAAAAGAAAGAAAGUUAAAUGAUAAAAUUAAGGGGAAAAUACGGGAAACUAUUAAAACGGGACCGCGUCGGGAAGAAGGGCAAAGUACGCUAGUUUCCCCAUGAGAAAUGCAAAUAACAAAUAGGGCAUAAUUUGCAUAUUUGCUUAAUACGUUGGUUUGUGAGAGCUGAUGUAUGUAGUGCAGUGUGGGAAUGUGAAUGCUCUAAUUAGACAUUAUUUGCACAUUUGCUUCGUCAUUUGAUUUGAGCAGAAGGUGCUUUAAAAUCCCAAGGCUCCUGAACCCAGCAGCACCGGUGGUUGGCGAGGCAAGAUGGAGGAGUCCACAGCCACACCGAAACAAGCCACGGAAAACCUCGACGACCCUCCCAACAGCCGCCUUUUCCUGGUCACCAGUCGCGCCAUCACCGAAGAUGAGCUCAGGGAGAAUUUCUGCGUGUUCGGGGACAUCCAGGGGGUGUGGGUCGUGAAAGACAAGCAGACAAAAGAGUCCAAAGGCAUUUGCUAUGUGAAGUUUGCCAAAUCGUCUCAGGCCUGUCUGGCCAUGGAGGAAAUGCACGGCAAAGUCCUGGUGGACGGAACCAAACCUAUCAAGGUGUUUAUCGCCCAGUCGCGGUCGUCUACGAGCCACAGGGACGUGGAGGAUGAGGAGCUGACCAGGAUCUUUGUCAUGAUCCCCAAAGUGUUCUCUGAGGAAGACCUGAAAAAGACGUUUAAGGAGUAUGGCGACAUCGAAUAUUGUGUCAUCAUCAAGAACAAGAUGACUGGGGAGAGUAAAGGUUUGGGCUAUGUGAGAUACCACAAACCCUCCCAAGCGGCCCUGGCCAUAGAGAACUGUGACAAAGCUUACAGAGCCAUCCUGGCAGAACCUCGCAACAAAGCCUCUGCCACGGAAGACAACAUCAGCAUGAUGGCCAGGAAUGACUACACAGGCUGUGCUGACUCCACCAACCCCUACUCCUUCCCCAUGGGCUCAGCUGAACCACCCAGCUACCCGGUGAUGGACCGACCUACCGGUCAUGGCCGCAUCGGCGACUUCUCCCACUGCCUGAUGAUAUCCACACGAGCCGCGCUGACGCAGGAGCAGGUUUUUGCCCUGUUUGAUAUCAUUCCCGGGAUGGAAUACUGCGAGCUGCAACGUGACGCUUACGGGAUGAGCAAAGGUCAGGCUUUGAUUCGCUACAGCAACCUUGGCUCAGCCGUGUACGCCAAAGAAAAACUGAAUGGAUUUGAGUACCCCCCAGGCAACAGACUCAUGGUCGCUUUUGUGGAUGAUGGAGAAGAACGCAGCAGGUCGGAUGGCCAUGCAGUUUGUGUCCACCCAGGUGAUGUCAGCAAUGUGGAACGGACCCUCCAGCAGUCAAGCAAUGAAACCUCCCGGGUUCUCUGCACCCCCGGCAGUGUCCCGGAUUCAGACCGAUGUCAGUCUGCCCCCCCCGAAGAAGCUUGCGCCGCCCGACAGCAAAUCCAAGGAGCGCUUGUUUGUCGUCUUCAACCCCUCCCCCUUGCCACUGGAUGUGCUGGAGGAUGUUUUCUGCCGCUUUGGGUCGCUGAUUGAAAUCCACUUGGUUCCAGGGAGGAAGGUUGGAUACAUCAAGUAUGCAGAGAAGCAGUGCGCGGAUCACGCCAUGGCGGUGCUGCACGGUCAGUUCAUCAACGGCGUGAAGAUGAAGGUGAUGCUCGCCGAUCCUCCCAGAGAGGAGUCACACAAAAGGCUUCGCACCUACUAGGACAUGACGACAUGACAGGUAAGUGUUUGCCGUGGUAAGAAAGCGCUAAUUGAUGCCAGUGGUCAUGCGUAGAUAGCCCACACAUAAACCAUCAGCUAUUCCGUUGAGCAUUUAUUUCAAGAAUAAUAUUUGUUAAAUACAACAUGCCUUUUUGUACAAAAAGACAGCACUAGCAUUGUUGUUAUUGUUGACUAAGCCUUUACACCAGGGGUAGGGAACCUAUGGCUCGGGAGCCAGAUGUGGCUCUCCUGGUGGUUGCAUCCGGCUCUCUGGCUUUAACACAAAAAUUUGUUGUUGUAAUUUCAUUUGACAGAAAUCACAGUGUUAAAAAUAACAUUGAAAAUAUAAAACUUCUUUAUGCACUUUAAUCCAUCCAUCCAUUUUCUACCACAAGCACAGAAGUCACAUUAAUUGUAAGAAGUAUUUUACAGUAUUUAUUAUUGGUUAGCUUCAAUAUAACAACGUUAUUAAAAAGAAUAAAUUCAGAGACUUAUUAUACUCUUAAAAUUGUUGGUCAUGCUUAAUAAUGCACACAUUUAGUUGUAUUGUCAGUUGUUGUAUAUGGCUGUCACGGAAAUACAUUUUAAAAUAUGUGGCUUUCUUGGCUCUCUUAACAAAAAAGGUUCCCGACCCCUGCUUUACACGGAGUAUAAAGUAGUAGAUGAAGUAAGCUUUAAGAGUGAUGCAGGUCGGGGGGGGGGUUAAAAGCUUGAGGCUUUUUGCUCAGUGGCCAGCGCUGCUCCACUUAACUCCCUCUUAGUGGGGAUGUGUGUUCUAGGGUUCCAGCCCUGCACACACAACCACUGGUACACUGGUGCUGUGACCCGGAUGAGAGUGAGGUUUUGGUGGGUAGGGGUUAGUGUAAAGGUGAGCUGUGUGAUAGUAUGUUAAAUGUGCUAACCCUCUUUGGUUCCAAUCACACUUUUUUUUUUUUUUUGGCAUUUGGCAUUGAGCGUUACCGGCUGUCUCAGUAACAGCUCAUGCACCGCACCUGCCUGGUGUGGGUACACAUACCACAUACCACAUACACAGUUUCAGAAGCUCACCUGACCGUUUCCUGCACGCGACUCUGAUGUGGGGUGUGGCUUGCCAGCUUUUAGCAGAAAGAAGGCGGGAUAAAGUAUGUUUAGAACGCGAGCGCCCCCUUUGCAUUACUCAACCAUGACAGACUGCACCUCUUAAAGGGAUAGUUGGGAUUUUUUUGACAUGUUGUAUGACAUCUCCAUCAGCAGUGUAGUUCAUCAACAGUGACUUACCCCCCACUUCGUCCCGUGAGCAGACGACACUUAGACAACAACGAUACGAAAGAAAGUAAAACCGAGCGAUUGAGAGGUUGGAUUUUGUGGCCCCAUCAACUAACCGGUACUACAUUUCUCAUCACCGAAAUCCGACCAGAACUGGGCUCACGGGACCAAGUGGGGGGGUAAGUCAUUGUUGAUGCACUUACACUGCUGAUGGGGAUGUCAUACAACUUCACGUCAAAAAAUCCCAACUAUGCUUUUAAGUAAGCUUUACUCCUCCACACUGUAAGAGCUGCUGGUCAAUGGGUUGAAAGCCUUUGCUCAUUGGCUAGCACGCUGUACAGGACCGUCAUUGGGUGUGGUUGUGGGCAUGUGCAUUAGAGUCUGAACAACGUUGGCCUCUGCUGGUUGAUGCCAAGUAGUUCACUUUGUUUUACCUAGUGAUCCACCAAUAAUCAGCCCGGCUGAUUAUCAGUGCCAAUAUUUGGCAUUUUGAUACAUAUCAGCAUCAGCUUUUUUUUUUUUUUUUUUUUAAUCUAAGAGAUGAAUAGCAGAACUAAUGUGAUGCAACGGUCUACAAACCUACACGUGUAAAUUACAGCGGUGCAGCCGGCAUUUCUCCUGUUGCAAGACUGGAAGGUGCUUACCUUUUGGUGAAACAAGGGUGGCAUAGUGUCCUUUUUGCCCCAGUCAUGCAAACAAAAUAUCCAUCUAACUCGUGAAAAACAACGUGGGAAAUAAACUGAUAUGUGCUACAAAGAGUGGAGACUUGCACGCAGUGAAGCGUAGCAUAGCACUGAAGCUAAUCAGAUCCCAGCAUGUGUAGUAUUCUACACAAAAUACAGUAUGUCAUCUGGCAAGCGCUUUGUUUCUUUUCAUUCUUUUCAACAAGAAGAUCUUUGUCAAAACUUUGUCACCAAUAUCAGCUCCAAGUAUCAGUUAUUGGCCUCCUUGGCAACUUAAAAUUUGAAAAACCAUAUUGGUCAAUCUGUAAUUUUAUGUAUUGCUUCCAACACAACAGUCUUGUUCACAAAAAAGCAAGAUUGACUGAAUCCUAUGGACAAAAUCAACUGAUUAGAAUUAGGGAUGCUCCGAUCGAUCGGCCACCGAUCAGUAUCUGUCGAUUUUGGUAAAAAACACGAUCGGUGUGCGGCGGCAAAUCCUACAUGUGCAGUUACCUACAAAAUGACACAUGUCGUAUUGAGCUUGACACAGACUACACCAAUGCAUGCCAGCGUGUUCAAUCACUCCCUUAUCAAACCUAUUGCUCUUCCACUUGUCUCGCAUCUUUCUUUACGUGCUUUGCCUCAGCUAGCUAGCUAGAGUUAUCCACCUAGGUUCUGGUCUUUGGACUCCAAAUGUGACUUUAGCACAGUGACAUUUCGUUUUUAAAACAAACAAGUAGGCCUGUCACGAUUUUGCUGGGCAAUAAUUGUGGCACGAAUCACCAUCUAAUUGAUUUUAUCAACAUUUUUUGAUUAAUUGUCCUGAGAGGUGUAAUUCAUUCGAACGGCUAGAUGGUACUCAAGUAUAGUGUACGGUGUAACUCUGUGAGACAUUAGUUUGACACAGAAGUUGCCUGUAUGUAUGUUUUUGUAAUGUAGCCAGCGACACUGUCUGUGAGCACGCCCCACUGUUUUGUUUAUAUUAUAUUUGCCGACCAAACACGUUGAGAUGAGGGCCCACUCUCUCCGUUCAUUCCACUAUAGAACCAAUGCACACAGACAGAUGCAGAGUGAAGCCUCUUGUCAUCCAGCCUGUGUGGCACAGAGAGACGAGCAGAUGAAACACACGCAUACAUGCACAUGUCAGCUUAUCGAGGAUGUCAUAAUUAUCGACCAGUUGUUUUUUUUAAUCGUUCGAUUAAUCGAUUUAUUGAUUAUCGUGACAGGCCUACAAACAAGCAAUGCGGUUAGUUGGGAGCUCCUUUUUGUCCAAUGGGAAAGUGAAUAUCUCAUUCAUGGGGUAUGUACUAACAUUUUCAAUUUAGCUGUCUUGUCAUAAUACUAAUUGCGUAUGUCUUGUCCUCCAAACACUAUUUGCGUGUGGUUGUUUAAUGGACAUAAAGCCUUAUGAUGGUGGUACUAUCACAGGGAGUCUCCGAGCUCACCAGCUGGUUUUGAGUAGCUCACCAAAGGCUUCAACUCUUUGUAUUUUUAAAAAAAAAAUUUUAAUUAGAAGUGUUGAAUUCAGACUUGAUGUGUUUUUAUAUAAUGACAAAUGAGCAGAAAAUAGCAAAGACUGUUUGGUUUGAGUGGAGAUGUGCUUGGUAAAUAAAGUAGUGUACAACUGAAAUGUUCACAAAUAAAAGAGAAAUACUUGUAGUUGAUAGCUGUCAUAGUGAUGAAAGCAACCUGGAUAUUCAUUCUCUUAACUUAAGCACCCCUCAUUUCUAUUAUUUUAUUCUCUUCAUUUUCUUAUCUUCAACUAAAAGAAAAAAAAAAAAAAAUCAAUGGAACAAUUCAUUUCUCACGUAUAGGUGUUACUCCAAAACAUGCAUGAAAUUAAAUUCAGGUGUGUGUCAAAUAGCACAAAAAUCCUUUCACACAAAUAAAAGGCAACAAAAAUAUCCCAAAAUGGGCCAAAGUUCACUUUUUUUACAAUGACCUAUUUGCUUUGGAAUUGUCUAACAUGACCGCUAGCCAAUACCACUCAUCAUACAUACAGUGGUAUGAAAAAGUAUCUGAACCUUUUGGAAUUUCUCACAUU